rnacentral:tRNA from 1 species
GGGCGAAUAGCUCAGCUGGGAGAGCGCUUCCCUUACAAGGAAGAUGUCGGGGGUUCGAGCCCCUCUUCGCCCACCA